rnacentral:rRNA from 1 species
GAUCAUGGCGUCAGGAGUGAACGCUAGCGGCAGGCUUAACACAUGCAAGUCGAGGGGCAACGCGAGUAGCAAUACGUGGCGGCGACCGGCGGCAAGGGUGCGUAACGCGUGAGCAACAUGCCCGUAGUCAGGGGGAUAUACCAGGGAAACUUGGUCUAAUACCCAUAGUAAUUUGUAAGGCAUCUUAUAAGAUUUAAAGCUUUGGUGGAUACGGAUUGGGCUCGCGUGACAUUAGCUGGAUGGUAAGGUAACGGCUUACCAUGGCUAUGAUGUCUAGGGGUUCUGAGAGGAAGGUCCCCACACUGGAACUGAGACACGGUCCAGACUCCUACGGGAGGCAGCAGUGAGGAAUAUUGGACAAUGGAUGGAAAUCUGAUCCAGCCAUGCCGCGUGAAAGGAAGAAGGUCCUAUGGAUUGUAAACUUCUUUUGUAUGGGAGCAAUAAGGCCUACGAGUAGGUUGAUGAGAGUACCAUACGAAUAAGCACCGGCUAACUCCGUGCCAGCCGCUGC